GUGACUGCGUACCUUUUGUAUAAUGGGUCAGCGACUUAUAUUCUGUAGCAAGGUUAACCGAAUAGGGGAGCCGGAGGGAAACCGAGUCUUAAUUGGGCGUUAAGUUGCAGGGUAUAGACCCGAAACCCGGUGAUCUAGCCAUGGGCAGGUUGAAGGUUGGGUAACACUAACUGGAGGACCGAACCGACUAAUGUUGAAAAAUUAGCGGAUGACCUGUGGCUGGGGGUGAAAGGCCAAUCAAACCGGGAGAUAGCUGGUUCUCCCCGAAAGCUAUUUAGGUAGCGCCUCGUGAACUCAUCUCCGGGGGUAGAGCACUGUUUCGGCUAGGGGGCCAUCCCGGCUUACCAACCCGAUGCAAACUGCGAAUACCGGAGAAUGUUAUCACGGGAGACACACGGCGGGUGCUAACGUCCGUCGUGAAGAGGGAAACAACCCAGACCGCCAGCUAAGGUCCCAAAGUCAUGGUUAAGUGGGAAACGAUGUGGGAAGGCCCAGACAGCCAGGAUGUUGGCUUAGAAGCAGCCAUCAUUUAAAGAAAGCGUAAUAGCUCACUGGUCGAGUCGGCCUGCGCGGAAGAUGUAACGGGGCUAAACCAUGCACCGAAGCUGCGGCAGCGAACGUAUCACUUAAAGCGAUUCAGCGGGUUACGAUUGACGGAGCGAAGCGACGUCAAAGCGUAUACAAAGUCGAGUCGGUUUAAGGAUACGUUCGUUGGGUAGGGGAGCGUUCUGUAAGCCUGCGAAGGUGGCCUGUGAGGGUUGCUGGAGGUAUCAGAAGUGCGAAUGCUGACAUAAGUAACGAUAAAGCGGGUGAAAAGCCCGCUCGCCGGAAGACCAAGGGUUCCUGUCCAACGUUAAUCGGGGCAGG
rnacentral:rRNA from 2 species